rnacentral:rRNA from 1 species
CCUACGGGAGGCAGCAGGGAGGAAUAGUGGUCAAUGGACGAGAGUCUGAACCAGCCAAGUAGCGUGAAGGAUGACUGCCCGAUGGGUUGUAAACUUCGUUUAUAGGGGAAUAAAAUGGUCCACGUGUGGGAGUUUGUAUGUACCAUAUGAAUAAGGAUCGGCUAACUCCGUGCCAGCAGCCGCGGUAAUACGGAGGAGCCGAGCGUUAUCCGGAUUUAUUGGGUUUAAAGGGAGCGUAGGGGGAUUGUUAAGUCAGUGGUGAAAGUUUGCGGCUCACCCGUAAAAUUGCAGUUGAAACUGGCAGUCUUGAGUACAGUAGUGGUGGGCGGACUUCGUUGUGUAGCGG